UACAGAGGUCUCAAGCGUUGUUCGGAUUCAUUGGGCGUAAAGGGUGCGUAGGCGGCGCGGUAAGUCGGGGUGUGAAAUCUCGGAGCUUAACUCCGAAACUGCAUUCGAUACUGCCGUGCUUGAGGACUGGAGAGGAGACUGGAAUUCAUGGUGUAGCAGUGAAAUGCGUAGAGAUCAUGAGGAAGGCCAGUGGCGAAGGCGGGUCUCUGGACAGCUCCUGACACUGAGGAGCGAAAGCCAGGGGAGCAAACGGG
rnacentral:rRNA from 1 species